GUGCCCUCAGCGCUACCUUGAGGUGGAGUUUCCUCUUGCGAAAUCAGCGGGUGCUGAAAAUGUCCUGUUGGCUCUGAUGACUGGGAAAGGCUUUGCUCGCUGUUUGAGAUGUACGUGUCAUGGUCCUCAUCUUCCUCCUGCCCCAUCCCGACUGCUGGGAUGCUUACUGCGCUAGAAUAGCAGUGUGUGCAUCAACUCAUUCUGCUCUGUAACAUCACGGACAGAAGGCACAAUUGUUUCUGCUGUGAUUCCAAAACCAACUGUCGAGAGAAGGCCUUUGGGAGAAGAGCAGUGAGCCAGACAGUGUGCUCCCUGGCAGCGCUGGAUGGAGUUCAAGGAAAAUUGUUUGCCUCACCACCCUCCUGAACCCCCUCCGUGGCAUCGUUCUCCACUGCUGCCCCCCGUGGGUCUGCGUAACGCCAGUCAGCCGAGGCGCACGCGAGCAGGAUUCUCGUGUUCAGGGCUUUCAGCAGGUGAGAUUCGGCCCUUUCUGGGUCAGUCUGACACUCUCAUCUCAGGUGUGUCAUCUCUGCAGUGCGAAUAUUAAACGUGCAACGCACGGAAUAAACGAUUCGGGCUCCAGUGGGCUCAGCCGAGUCCUUCC